GAUGAACGCUGGCGGCGUGCUUAACACAUGCAAGUCGAACGGAAAGGCCCUGCUUUUGUGGGGUGCUCGAGUGGCGAACGGGUGAGUAACACGUGAGUAACCUGCCCUUGAUUUUGGGAUAACUUCAGGAAACUGGGGCUAAUACCGGAUAGGAGCUCCUGCUGCAGGGUGGGGGUUGGAAAGUUUCGGCGGUUGGGGAUGGACUCGCGGCUUAUCAGCUGUUGGUGGGGUAGUGGCUUACCAAGGCUUUGACGGGUAGCCGGCCUGAGAGGGUGACCGGCCACAUUGGGACUGAGCUACGGCCCAGACUCCUACGGGAGGCAGCAGUGGGGAAUAUUGCACAAUGGGCGGAAGCCUGAUGCAGCAACGCCGCGUGCGGGAUGACGGCCUUCGGGUUGUAAACCGCUUUCGCCUGUGACGAAGCGUGAGUGACGGUAAUGGGUAAAGAAGCACCGGCUAACUACGUG
rnacentral:rRNA from 1 species